GAGCAAACAGGAUUAGAUACCCUGGUAGUYCACGCCGUAAACGAUGUCAACUAGUUGUUYGUGUCAUAAACGAUGUGAGUAACGCAGCUAACGCACUAAGUUGACCGCCUGGGGAGUACGGCCGCAAGGUUAAAACUCAAAUGAAUUGACGGGGGCCCGCACAAGCGGUGGAGCAUGUGGUUUAAUUCGAUGCAACGCGAAGAACCUUACCAUCCCUUGACAUCCAGUGAAUUUUCUAGAGAUAGAUUAGUGCCUUCGGGAACACUGAGACAGGUGCUGCAUGGCUGUCGUCAGCUCGUGUUGUGAGAUGUUGGGUUAAGUCCCGCAACGAGCGCAACCCUUAUCCUUAGUUGCCAGCACGUAAUGGUGGGAACUCUGGGGAGACUGCCGGUGAUAAACCGGAGGAAGGUGGGGACGACGUCAAGUCAUCAUGGCCCUUACGGGAUGGGCUACACACGUGCUACAAUGGCGCGUACAAUGGGAAGCUAACUCGCGAGAGUGUGCGGAUCUCAAAAAGCGCGUCGUAGUCCGGAUUGGAGUCUGCAACUCGACUCCAUGAAGUCGGAAUCGCUAGUAAUCGUGGAUCAGAAUGCCACGGUGAAUACGUUCCCGGGCCUUGUACACACCGCCCCGA
rnacentral:rRNA from 1 species